UACGGGGGGGGGCAAGCGUUGUUCGGACUUACUGGGCGGAAAGGGCUCGGAGGCGGCCAACUAAGUCAGACGUGAAAUCCCUCGGCUUAACCGGGGAACUGCGUCUGAUACUGGAUGGCUCGAGUUUGGGAGAGGGAUGCGGAAUUCCAGGUGUAGCGGUGAAAUGCGUAGAUAUCUGGAGGAACACCGGUGGCGAAGGCGGCAUCCUGGACCAACACUGACGCUGAGACGCGAAAGCGUGGGGAGCGAACAGG
rnacentral:rRNA from 1 species